rnacentral:lncRNA from 1 species
AUGUUUUUGGAUAUAUAUAAAGGGGCACUUGACAGCCUGAAGAAACAAUCCGGUUUUACGAAGAAACGAUCCGGUUUUACACUUCUCUUCCCCAAAACGCGCCGCCGCCGUGCGGGAGAAGCCCCGGGGCGAGCGGGCGGGCGGCCGGACACCCCCCUUCCCCCCUCCGCCCCCCCCGGGGCGGCCCCCGCUGCCUUCGCGGCCGGUGCCCGGGCGGCGGUGGGGGGGAUGCCCGGGUGUCGGUCGGCGCUAGACGUCCAGGACGUGGUUGAGAUAGGAGAUGUAGCAGAUGGCGAGGCGCAGGAUCUCGAUCUUGGAGAGCUUCUUGUCGGGGGGCAGGGUGGGCAGCAGCUUGCGCAGCUCGGCGAAGGCCAGGUUGAAGGCCUCCACGCGGAUCCGCUCGCGCGUGGCGUGGGCCGAGCGGUACUUGGCCGUGGCGCGUCUCCGCCGUCGCUUCUCCUCCCGGCUCAAGGGCGGCGGNCGCCGCCCCGGCCCUCCCCGCCGCCGCCGCCGCCCUCCGCGGGCUCCGGGUCGGAGACGCAGCAGCUGAGCGCCCGGGCGUCCGCGCCGCCCAGGGACUCGGGGUCGGAGGGCGCCGAGGAGGGGUGGUCGGAGUCGGCGGCUUGGUCCGGGCUGAGCAUCAUCUUGGCGGGGGGCGGAGGAGCCUUCCCGGGACAGAGAAGCAGAGAGAGCGGUAAACCCAUGCCCGUGCUACCUGGAAGAGGGAGAUCUGGUUAGUGCUGCUUACCUCGGCGGAGUCGUUUGGACAGCCUCUCUCUCCGGGUCUCCUCGCCCCCUCGGCGAUUUCUUUACAGUUCAAUUGACCCUCCGGGAGCGGAGCAUGGAAAAAUUAAACAACAACAACAAAAAAAAUCAAAAUCAAAUGAAUUACGAGCGGAAAAGUGUCCUGCUCGGAUGGGGAAAGGCAGAUCUCAUCCCUCGCCGCGGCCUCCAGCGCUCCAGAGAUGCGAGAUGUUCCCGCCGUGUUUCUUUGCGGAGUAUAAAUAACAACUUAAGUUACUUACGAUGCAUCAGGGGAGAAUAAACCGUUUUCCCCCUCAAAGUCUGCCUCCGCCCGUUAAUUCGGGGCAGCGGGCUGCCGCGCACCGGCAGCGGCUGCGAGUCGGAUGGGGGGGGGGGGGGGGGGGNGGGGGGGGAGGCGGAGGGAAGGGAGGGGGGCGCCCAAAAACCGCGCUGCGAAGUGCCGUCUCCCCCGCUCUUCUUCCUCCUCUUCCCCGAUCGCGAUAAAUAACAAAAGGGUCGCGGCGAUAGCACCAGCCGGGAUUAUUCCCUUCUCCCCCGCCCCCUCGGCCGCUCCUUCCCGGCCGCGNNGCCGCUCCCGGGCCGGGGCGCGGAGCCCGGCGGCCGCUGCGCGCUGCGCGGAGCCCCGGGCGCGGAGCUGCUGCCGGCUUUGUUCCUCCGCGGCCCGGCGCGCAGGCACGCCGCGGGUCGGGGUAACAAUGCGUCGCUCCCUCCUUUCUUCGCUAGUAUUUUUUGGGGGUGUAACGGGCGGUUUUUGUUAAUUCAGCGGUCCGGCGGAGAGGGGCAGGAAGGGGAGACGCCGUCGGAGAAUAAAUAAAUGUUUGGUUUAGUUUUUCUUCUGGUCCUUCAAGAGCUGGCGAGGGGGGGAGGGAAAAAAAGGAUAAGCGAAACCCCCAUCCGUCCCUGAGCUUCCCAACUCCUCCUGCAUCUCUCGAGUGAGAAUAAAGAAAGAAAUGCGAACGCCGGCAAGCAAACCAAAACAAAAUAAACGAAAAUCUCGGAGCGGCUGCGAGAGAUAACGUCGGUGCAGGGAAAGGUACGCUCACACGCACAAAAAGAAAGUGCAGUUCCUCCUCCCACCCCUCCCGGAGCGGCAAAGAAGCCAAGGAGGGGUGCGGACGGUGGCAGGGGCCAGACAGACAGACAGACAGAGCGGAGAUGCCUGCGGAUCCGCUCCUGGUACCGAAGGGUUUAGCCUGGAGAUGGUCGGAAGAGAUAAAGGCUCGGGGAAAAGGGGACGGCAUUUUUUCCCUUUUAAAUUGAUAUUUAAUGGGAAAGCCUAUUGGCCAGAAACCCGGACACGAGUCACUUAAUUGGACUUGACAUCUGUCACAGUGUGGGAGUUUUCACAGCCCAAAUAUUUUCAGCAGAUCAGAUUCUCGCUGAAUCUGUGCCACAAAUUAUAACAGUCGAGAGCAGCCCACGAUAUAAACCCUCGCCUCUGGAUACACAGUCUCUAGCCACGCUCGCUCCCGCCGCCGUCAUGUGUGUGUCCCCCCCUGGCCCAAAAUAUUGGAUACCCA